rnacentral:rRNA from 1 species
UACGGAGGGUGCAAGCGUUAAUCGGAAUUACUGGGCGUAAAGGGCGCGUAGGUGGUUAAUUAAGUUGUCUGUGAAAUUCCUGGGCUUAACCUAGGGUUGUCAGGCAAAACUGAAUAACUAGAGUAUGAUAGAGGGUAGUGGAAUUUCAGGUGUAGCGGUGAAAUGCGUAGAUAUCUGAAGGAACACCAGUGGCGAAGGCGACUACCUGGGUCAAUACUGACACUGAGGCGCGAAAGCGUGGGGAGCAAACAGG